GGUUGAUCCUGCCAGUAGUCAUAUGCUUGUCUCAAAGAUUAAGCCAUGCAUGUCUAAGUAUAAACACAUUUGUACUGUGAAACUGCGAAUGGCUCAUUAAAUCAGUUAUAGUUUAUUUGAUAUUACAUUACUACUUGGAUACCCGUGGUAAUUCUAGAGCUAAUACAUGCGUUAAAACCCGACUUCUGGAAGGGUUGUAUUUAUUAGAUAAAAAACCAAUCUGGGCAACCAGUUCUUUGGUGAUUCAUAGUAACUUUUCGAAUCGUAUGGCCUUGUGCUAACGAUGUCUCAUU
rnacentral:rRNA from 1 species